UACGUAGGGGGCGAGCGUUGUCCGGAGUUACUGGGCGUAAAGCGCACGCAGGCGGUCUGUUAAGUUUGGAGUGACAGUUGGUGGCUUAACUGCCAAAGUGCUUCGAAAACUGACAGACUUGAGGGCUUCAGAGGGACACGGAAUUCCGGGUGGAGUGGUGAAAUGCGUAGAGAUCCGGAGGAACACCAAAGGCGAAGGCAGUGUCCUGGGGAGUACAUGACGCUCAGGUGCGAAAGCCAGGGGAGCGAACGGG
rnacentral:rRNA from 1 species